rnacentral:rRNA from 1 species
UGGGGAAUUUUGGACAAUGGGCGCAAGCCUGAUCCAGCAAUGCCGCGUGCAGGAAGAAGGCCUUCGGGUUGUAAACUGCUUUUGUCAGGGAAGAAAUCCUUUGGGUUAAUACCUCGAAGGGAUGACGGUACCUGAAGAAUAAGCACCGGCUAACUACGUGCCAGCAGCCGCGGUAAUACGUAGGGUGCGAGCGUUAAUCGGAAUUACUGGGCGUAAAGCGUGCGCAGGCGGCUUUGCAAGACAGAGGUGAAAUCCCCGGGCUCAACCUGGGAACUGCCUUUGUGACUGCAAGGCUAGAGUACGGCAGAGGGGGAUGGAAUUCCGCGUGUAGCAGUGAAAUGCGUAGAUAUGCGGAGGAACACCGAUGGCGAAGGCAAUCCCCUGGGCCUGUACUGACGCUCAUGCACGAAAGCGUGGGGGAGCAAACAGGAUUAGAUACCCUGGUAGUCCACGCCCUAAACGAUGUCAACUGGUUGUUGGACGGCUUGCUGUUCAGUAACGAAGCUAACGCGUGAAGUUGACCGCCUGGGGAGUACGGCCGCAAGGUUGAAACUCAAAUGAAUUGACGGGG